GCCGGGUGUGUUGGCAUGCACCUGUAAUCCCAGCUACUCGGGAGGCUGAGGCAGGAGAAUCGCUUGAAUCCAGGAGGCAGAGGUUGCAGUGAGCCGAGAUCACGCCACUGAACUCCAGCCUGGGCGACAGAGCGAGACUCCGUCUCAU
rnacentral:SRP_RNA from 1 species